rnacentral:rRNA from 1 species
UACGGGGGGAGCAAACGUUGUUCGGAUUUACUGGGCGUAAAGGGCGCGUAGGCGGUCAGCACAAGACAGUUGUGAAAUCUCCGGGCUUAACUCGGAAAGGUCAACUGAUACUGUGCGACUAGAGUGCAGGAGAGGAAAGCGGAAUUCCCGGUGUAGUGGUGAAAUGCGUAGAUAUCGGGAGGAACACCAGAGGCGAAGGCGGCUUUCUGGCCUGUAACUGACGCUGAGGCGCGAAGGCUGGGGUAGCGAACAGG